UACAGAGGUCUCAAGCGUUGUUCGGAUUCAUUGGGCGUAAAGGGUGUGUAGGUGGCGCCGUAAGUCGGGUGUGAAAUUUCGGAGCUUAACUCCGAAACUGCAUUCGAUACUGCGGUGCUUGAGGACUGGAGAGGAGACUGGAAAUUCAUGGUGUAGCAGUGAAAUGCGUAGAGAUCAUGAGGAAGACCAGUGGCGAAGGCGGGUCUCUGGACAGUUCCUGACGCUGAGGCACGAAGGCCAGGGGAGCAAACGGG
rnacentral:rRNA from 1 species